rnacentral:lncRNA from 1 species
CCGAUGCUGGGGGACAGGGACGGGGAGGGGCAGCGGGUGGAUGAUGAGGUAUCUGUGCAGGCCCGGGGGCCACUGGCCUCAGGAUGCAGGGAGAGGUGGGCAGGCUGAGGGGAGGGGCGAGCUCCACGAGGCUGCUCUAACUGCCCCGUGGGUCAGGCCUGCCAUCGCUGUCACAAUGGGAAUAGCAAAGCUGGCUCUCCCAGAGCCACGGGGUCUGGCGGAGGUGGCUGUGCUGGGGUGGGUACAGGGCUCAGCCUCUGAGGAUGGUGACCUGGUUUGUAACUGUCCCUUUACCCACACCAGGAGAGAGAAAUAAGGAACAGUCCCCUGGGAGGUGUCCAGGACCAGGAGGGAACAGGAAGGGAAUUUUUAGGCAUCUAAGGAUUCUUUAUUUCCAGAGAAAAUCUAUUCAAGACCUUUGCUGACCUCCUCUGUGCCUGCAGGGCACUCCAGGAAAUCCUCAGCUCUGUCCCCUCCCCCCGGCCCCCUCGCCGGCCCAGGCUGCAGGGGACGGGGAAGGGGAAGGACAGCCAAGUCCCUCCUUCCCCACCUCAGCCUGCCCUCCUGAGGUCCAGAGCCCAGUGGCAGGGAUUGGGGUGAGGGCACAGGAAGCUUGGCAGUGGCUGGGUUUGGUUUAUUGUUGGUAGAGAAUCAUUUUAAGUAGUAUCUACGGUAACGAAUCACAGUGACUGCAACCGGGUCAGAGAGCCCCAGGCUGAGGCCCCACCUGUCCGGGUGGGACUCCAGACCAGCCACUUCCUAUGAUCUGUCACCUGUGCUCAGAGCAAGGCCUGGGAAGAGAACAUGAGGCUCCGGAGGAAAGCCGGGGGCCUGGGCCACCUCACCAGACAGCAAUAGCAGCAGCAGCACACGAAGGCGGGGCAGGGCGGGGGAGAAGUCAGGGAGCGUGACGUCCACAUCGCACUGAUUUCCGAGGGUAGGGAGGGGAAGCAGGAGCGGCACUGGAGCUGGCACUGGGCCGGACAGGUG